GGGCGCCAUCGGCUGGUUCAUGGUGGCGUCGGGCUUCAACCCCGACAGCACGGCGGUCGCCCCCGUGCGGCUGGUGCUGCACCUGUGCUGCGCC
rnacentral:tRNA from 1 species